rnacentral:rRNA from 2 species
GCCAGCAGCCAUAUCACCCUGCAACUCACAACUGGCAACCCAAUGAAGCUCAGCAGGUGUGAGCCUGGUCAGUACCUGGAUGGGAGACCUCCUGGGAAAGCUAUGAUUGCUGCUGGAA